rnacentral:tRNA from 1 species
GCCCUGAUCGUCUAAUCGGUUAGGACGCCACCCUUUCAAGGUGGAGACGCGGGAUCGUAACCCGCUCGGGGUGCCA